rnacentral:rRNA from 1 species
GACGUAGGGCGCGAGCGUUGUCCGGAUUUAUUGGGCGUAAAGAGCUCGUAGGCGGCUCAUUGCGUCAACCGUGAAAACCAGCAGCUCAACUGUUGGCUUGCGGUUGAUACGGGUGGGCUGGAGUUCGGUAGGGAGACUGGAAUUCCUGGUGUAGCGGUGAAAUGCGCAGAUAUCAGGAGGAACACCAGCGGCGAAGGCGGCGCUCUGGGCCGGAACUGACGCUGAGGAGCGAAAGCGUGGGGAGCAAACAGG